GACGAACGUUGGCGGCGUGCUUAACACAUGCAAGUCGAACGGAAAGGCCCUGCUUUUGUGGGGUGCUCGAGUGGCGAACGGGUGAGUAACACGUGAGUAACCUGCCCUUGACUUUGGGAUAACUUCAGGAAACUGGGGCUAAUACCGGAUAGGAGCUCCUGCUGCAUGGUGGGGGUUGGAAAGUUUCGGCGGUUGGGGAUGGACUCGCGGCUUAUCAGCUUGUUGGUGGGGUAGUGGCUUACCAAGGCUUUGACGGGUAGCCGGCCUGAGAGGGUGACCGGCCACAUUGGGACUGAGAUACGGCCCAGACUCCUACGGGAGGCAGCAGUGGGGAAUAUUGCACAAUGGGCGGAAGCCUGAUGCAGCAACGCCGCGUGCGGGAUGACGGCCUUCGGGUUGUAAACCGCUUUCGCCUGUGACGAAGCGUGAGUGACGGUAAUGGGUAAAGAAGCACCGGCUAACUACGUGCCAGCAGCCGCGGUGAUACGUAGGGUGCGAGCGUUGUCCGGAUUUAUUGGGCGUAAAGGGCUCGUAGGUGGUUGAUCGCGUCGGAAGUGUAAUCUUGGGGCUUAACCCUGAGCGUGCUUUCGAUACGGGUUGACUUGAGGAAGGUAGGGGAGAAUGGAAUUCCUGGUGGAGCGGUGGAAUGCGCAGAUAUCAGGAGGAACACCAGUGGCGAAGGCGGUUCUCUGGGCCUUUCCUGACGCUGAGGAGCGAAAGCGUGGGGAGCGAACAGGCUUAGAUACCCUGGUAGUCCACGCUGUAAACGGUGGGUACUAGGUGUGGGGUCCAUUCCACGGGUUCCGUGCCGUAGCUAACGCUUUAAGUACCCCGCCUGGGGAGUACGGCCGCAAGGCUAAAACUCAAAGGAAUUGACGGGGCCCCGCACAAGCGGCGGAGCAUGCGGAUUAAUUCGAUGCAACGCGUAGAACCUUACCUGGGUUUGACAUGGAUCGGGAGCGCUCAGAGAUGGGUGUGCCUCUUUUGGGGUCGGUUCACAGGUGGUGCAUGGCUGUCGUCAGCUCGUGUCGUGAGAUGUUGGGUUAAGUCCCGCAACGAGCGCAACCCUUGUUCACUGUUGCCAGCACGUUAUGGUGGGGACUCAGUGGAGACCGCCGGGGUCAACUCGGAGGAAGGUGGGGAUGACGUCAAGUCAUCAUGCCCCUUAUGUCCAGGGCUUCACGCAUGCUACAAUGGCUGGUACAGAGAGUGGCGAGCCUGUGAGGGUGAGCGAAUCUCGGAAAGCCGGUCUCAGUUCGGAUUGGGGUCUGCAACUCGACCUCAUGAAGUCGGAGUCGCUAGUAAUCGCAGAUCAGCAACGCUGCGGUGAAUACGUUCCCGGGGC
rnacentral:rRNA from 1 species